GAUGAACGCUGGCGGCGUGCCUAAUACAUGCAAGUCGAGCGAACGGACGAGAAGCUUGCUUCUCUGAUGUUAGCGGCGGACGGGUGAGUAACACGUGGAUAACCUACCUAUAAGACUGGGAUAACUUCGGGAAACCGGAUCUAAUACCGGAUAAUAUUUUGAACCGCAUGGUUCAAAAGUGAAAUACGGUCUUGCUGUCACUUAUAGAUGGAUCCGCGCUGCAUUAGCUAGUUGGUAAGGUAACGGCUUACCAAGGCAACGAUGCAUAGCCGACCUGAGAGGGUGAUCGGCCACACUAGAACUGAGACACGGUCCAGACUCCUACGGGAGGCAGCAGUAGGGAAUCUUCCGCAAUGGGCGAAAGCCUGACGGAGCAACGCCGCGUGAGUGAUGAAGGUCUUCGGAUCGUAAAACUCUGUUAUUAGGGAAGAACAUAUGUGUAAGUAACUGUGCACAUCUUGACGGUACCUAAUCAGAAAGCCACGGCUAACUACGUG
rnacentral:rRNA from 1 species